rnacentral:rRNA from 1 species
UAGGGAAUAUUGGGCAAUGGACGCAACUCUGACCCAGCCAUGCCGCGUGAAGGAAGAAGGCCUUCUGAGUUGUAAACUUCUUUUGAUCGGGAACAAAGAGUCCAUGCGUGGACAGUUGAGUGUACCGAUAGAAUAAGCACCGGCUAACUCCGUGCCAGCAGCCGCGGUAAUACGGAGGGUGCAAGCGUUGUCCGGAUUUAUUGGGUUUAAAGGGUGCGUAGGCGGUCUUUUAAGUCAGUGGUGAAAGCCUCCAGCUCAACUGGAGAAAUGCCAUUGAUACUGAAAGACUUGAGUAUAGUUGAGGUAGGCGGAAUUGACAGUGUAGCGGUGAAAUGCAUAGAUAUUGUCAAGAACACCGAUUGCGAAGGCAGCUUACUAAACUAUAACUGACGCUGAGGCACGAAAGUGCGGGGAUCAAACAGGAUUAGAUACCCCCGUAGUCC